rnacentral:rRNA from 1 species
GACGAACGCUGGCGGCGUGCUUAACACAUGCAAGUCGAACGGAAAGGCCCUGCUUUUGUGGGGUGCUCGAGUGGCGAACGGGUGAGUAACAAGUGAGUAACCUUCCCUUGACUUUGGGAUAACUUCAGGAAACUGGGGCUAAUACCGGAUAGGAGCUCCUGCUGCAUGGUGGGGGUUGGAAAGUUUCGGCGGUUGGGGAUGGACUCGCGGCUUAUCAGCUUGUUGGUGGGGUAGUGGCUUACCAAGGCUUUGACGGGUAGCCGGCCUGAGAGGGUGACCGGCCACAUUGGGACUGAGAUACGGCCCAGACUCCUACGGGAGGCAGCAGUGGGGAAUAUUGCACAAUGGGCGGAAGCCUGAUGCAGCAACGCCGCGUGCGGGAUGACGGCCUUCGGGUUGUAAACCGCUUUCGCCUGUGACGAAGCGUGAGUGACGGUAAUGGGUAAAGAAGCACCGGCUAACUACGUG